rnacentral:lncRNA from 10 species
CGGAUCCCAGCUCCUCUCCCACCCAGUUCUCAGCAGACACCUGCCAUUCCCAAGUCCCAGCUCCUCCUCAACACGGUUCCCCUCAGCAGACACCUGCCAUUCCCGAGUCCCAGCUCCUCUCCUGCUCAGCUCUCCUCAGAGGACACCUGCCAUUCCCAGGUCCCAGCUCCUCCCCUGCACGGUUCCCCUCAGCGGACACCUGCCAUUCCAGGGUCCCAGCUCCUCCCCCACACGGUUCCCCUCAGCGGACACCUGCCAUUCCCAGGUCCCAGCUCCUCCUCAACACAGUUCCCCUCAGCAGACACCUGCCAUUCCCAGGCCCCAGCUCCUCUCCUGCUCAGCUCUCCUCAGAGGACACCUGCCAUUUCCCGGGUCCCAGCUCCUCCCCCACACGGUUCCCCUCAGCGGACACCUGCCAUUCCUGGGUCCCAGCUCCUCCCCUGCACGGUUCCCCUCAGCGGACACCUGCCAUUCCAGGGUCCCAGCUCCUCCCCUGCACGGUUCCCCUCAGCGGACACCUGCCAUUCCCGGAUCCCAGCUCCUCUCCCACCCGGUUCUCCUCAGCAGACACCUGCCAUUCCCGAGUCCCAGCUCCUCCUCAACACGGUUCCCCUCAGCAGACACCUGCCAUUCCCGAGUCCCAGCUCCUCCUCAACACGGUUCCCCUCAGCAGACACCUGCCAUUCCCGAGUCCCAGCUCCUCCUCAACACGGUUCCCCUCAGCAGACACCUGCCAUUCCCGAGUCCCAGCUCCUCCUCAACACGGUUCCCCUCAGCAGACACCUGCCAUUCCCGAGUCCCAGCUCCUCUCCUGCUCAGCUCUCCUCAGAGGACACCUGCCAUUCCCAGGUCCCAGCUCCUCCCCUGCCCGGUUCCCCUCAGCGGACACCUGCCAUUCAGCAGUGCUGCGAGUGCCGACCGCGUCUGGGACUCCACGCAGGCUCAGGCUGCAACAUAAGGAAAACAGUCCCUUCCAGGAAGACCUCUCAGCCUUCAACAAAGGGCCUGGGAGGGCACAGGUAACCCGGGAUGCAACAGAUGACAGCACAAUCCUGACAGAGCGGCUCCCAGCCCUGAACGGCGCCAGCCGCUUCCCAGAGCUAAAGGCAGACAAGAAUCUUCGAAUGCAAAGGGCCCACCAAGCCCUGAGCAGGGAGAUGAAAAAAGUCCCACAAAACUUUCAGAAGAAAAAGACAAGUCUCACACAAAGGCAUGAGAAUCUGCCACCAGACACCUAAGAACACAGAGCCUGCAGGUGCGUGGGCCUUAGGCAGCCAGGUGGUGGCCUGGGGAGACCAUCACAGGGCUGCACAGGCCACCCAGAGCACGCAGCACCACAGACCAGCUGUUCUCCCCAUACACCUCGCACCCCAGCCGCCCGCGGAAAUAAGUACGAAUCGCUAGCCCCGCUCCAAGACUUACAAUCUGCAAACGGGGAGGGUGCCUCGCCAUUUCAGUGCCACGGCCCGCCUGCAGCAAGAGGAGCGCCGAGCCAACACGCUUCACAUCUAAACCUGCCCUGAGUCCUGUGACAGUGAACAGAAUCCCUCGCGUCGAGGACACAGCCUCUUACUAACGCCGGCUGUUGAGAUCGUCACAUGUGUUUCUUUCUGUUCACCUCCUGAAGUGCACCGGCCCUGUCUGGCCAAAAAUUGGGGUGCUGCAGGCGUUGGGAGGAACACAGCAGACGCAGACCUGCAAUUCCCCAACCAGCUCAGGGCCAGGGCCCUAGCAGCACCAGAUGGACGGGCACUGUGCACACGGCCCCUGGGCCCAGAGCUGCCCGCACACCUGACCGCAUGGUCCUGGGGCAGCUCACCAAGGCACCACUCCAAGAAUCGCACAAACACCAGCCAUGCUUCCUAAGCCCCUGCACGCUUCCUCUGCCCAGGCGCCCCCAGUCAUCCUGGUGAGUCUGGCUGGAACCCAAAUACACCAGGGCAAGCUCAAGUUGCUGAGGAAGAGGAGGGGGCUUCUCCCAAGGAGGGGAAACUCUGCAGGAUCCUCCAAGGACCCAGAGUCCAUGAAGCAAAAGAGCCUCCAGGGACAGAGUAUCUGCACAGAUGCUGAAAUACAGCACUGCUGGUUCCAGUGUCCUCCAGCAAGGGCCACAGAGGUGAGACUGGGGGAGCCAGCAGGUGCCCUGUGGCUGUCACCUGUGUCCCCAUCCAGUCGGAGGCCCUCCCACAUCCUCCCUGCCUAGGUCGCCGUACCGAGGCUCACCUUGCAUGGUGGCCACACCUCCUGCUGGACUCCCCGCUGUACCCCACUUGCCGGCCCACCCUGCCCUCACCCUCCUCCUGCCCACAGCUGCCAGCGCUUUGUCCUUCCCCACUUCCUAAUCCCUGCCCAAGCACCUGUCCCACUGGGUCCAGCCUCUUGAGGCUCUCUCACUGGGUCCCUCCCCAAACCUCAACAUCCCCCUCGGUCAGACCCACUUCCUCGUGGCCCCAUGAUUUUCCUGCUCACUCAUUCAUUCGUUUAUUCAUUCAAGAACUGUCUCGUGGCUUCUGCAGCAGCUCCAGGUGGGCAACUACGAACAGGCAACCAGUGACGGUCCUGAACUCCCAGGGCCAGCUGCCCCGGGGUCACAGACAGUUAAGACAGCCCAAUGCCACAGUGCACAGCAGGGCCAGGCCAUGCAGGAGGACACCAUUUGCAAAAAUCACUCUCUCUUGAAACGGGCCCUCUCUCCUCCCCCCACGACUCUGUGGCUCAGCUCAUAGCUCACCUCCUACCUGAGGCCCCCAAUGACUCCUCCAACACCCCCAGCCUCUAGGCUCUGAGAACCUAGCCACAGAGCAGGGGCCCCACACUCCGGCUGUGCCUGUUCACUCCUGGGGCGCCUCCCUUCUCAUGCACAGAGACGUCACCCCACAGCCUUCCGGGGCUUUCUGAUGUGGUGCUGUGGGCACACACACAGGCCCCCGUGCAAGGGGCAGGAGGAACCACUUCUGUAAGCAGGGGGAGCGGAGCCCACCAGUCACAAGAGGCUGGGAGGGGCUGAGCACAGCAGGCCCCACCUGCCCGUGUCUCUGUGGUUUUGAAGGCCACACAACGUGAACUCCAGAAACUCCAAUCCUGCAGAAGCACCACACCACAAAGACACUCAGACAAGAGCGGGAGCCAAGCCCCCAACCCCACCCACCCCAGACCACAACGGCCAGGGCCCAAAGCCACGUCACAGGCGCCAACCUGACCCUGCGGUCAGUCCAGCAGGGCCUGCCCUGUGAGCUCACUCUGGGCACCGGCCUGGUGAUGACCUGGCUUCAGGAAAAGUGAACAGGACACACGGAGGCCACAGCCCUCCAGGAUACCCCCGUGCGCCACAGCUGAUGAAACUUCCUGAUUCCAGAAACAAACACUAUUUCAGUAUCUUUGGAACACUGAAGGUCAAACCUCCUCAAUUCUUCCUUUCCAUUUGUAUUUGACUUUCCCUUUUUAUCUCUACUUGAUAUUUACUUCUGUUUGUGGUUUUUAAAUCUGUGCAGAGUGAGACUAUAAAUGGAGUUGCCAGAUUUAGAAAAAAAAAAAAAUACAGGAUACCCAGUUAAAUGUGAAUCUCAGAUACAUGACAACUUCCUAGUAUGAGUGCGCCCCAAAUGCUGUGCGGCAACACUGUACCUGGCAAGUCUAGC